rnacentral:misc_RNA from 1 species
GUUCUGUUGUUUUCCAUGUUAAAACAUUGUGCAAGGUUAAAAAAGAUAAAAUAAAAUUGAUAUUAAUGGUUUUUGGCAAUGAAGGUUCUGAAAUUCUAAUUAAAUUAAAAUUAGGAUAUGAAUAAUGCCAUUAAUACAUAUUAGAUGCAUUAAGAUUUGUCUCACUUCUCUUAUUCUUAAAAAUAAAUAACUGUUUUUAUUUAUAUCAUUGAGCAGGGGAAAAAAAGGAAAGUCGAAUUUACUUAUAUUUUAGCUUGAUAAUUAUUUAAGAAAUGGUCACUGAGAGAUGGUAUAUCAUCAUAUAGUGGGCAAUGUUUUUGCUUUAGGUAUUCUGAUUCCAUUUAUUUAGUGGCAUGAAAUUCUUUUGCAAGCAAUUUUGAUAGGAAUGAUCCCAAGUGAAUUGAGUUCCAUAUAAAUGAAACUGUGGAAUUGCAAAUGAAUUUCAUAAAAUAAGUGGAUUCAUUUGUUCCAAACACUAUCAAGUUGUAAACAUGCGUUUUGUGUGCUA